UAUAGUAUGCACAGAGGUGUAAAGUAUUGGAGUAAAUGUAAUUAGUUACUGUACUUGAGAAUCUUUUUGGAUACUUGUAGUUGUACUGAGUAUCAAAGAUAUUAGCAACUUUUAUGCUCUACUUCACUACAUUUGUAAAUGAGUAUCUGUACUCUUUACUCCAUCACAUUUGAAAUGUGUUGCAGUUACACAUUAUAUUUUGCAUGGACCUAGCUUUUUCUGCAGCAGUUUAUUUCUGCUCCAAAAGACAUGAUACUGCAUAUUGCAAGUCACUGAAAGUAGUGCAUCAUGUGCGUUUUGUCCUUACUCACCCAAACUUUUCAAAUAUGUGAAUGCGAGUUCCUUAGCAAGUGUUUGUGAAUCACAGGUGUUUUAUAUAUGAGAUGAUGACAUGACUGCAGCUGGCAAUGAGGCCCAAACCAGCACAGCCCCUGCAAGAAGGCGUCGGCUUUUUAAUUUUACUUAACAUAAUUGUAUUCAUCAAUUACACUGAAGAGACCUUUUUGAAUGAUUUUUUUUUUGUCGUUAUGUAAUUUUGAGGUGUUCAGUUUUAUUUUGGUUUUAGAAAAUAAAAGUGUUUUUUUCCUAACAAAUCAACUCUUUGUUUUUGUUACAUGCUCUCUUUGCCUUGCCCUGGACUUUUAUGUCACUUCCUGUCUCCAGUGGUGUUUGUAGUCAGUUUGUUCAUUUUUCCCCUUGAUUAGUCUCCCCAGGUGUGUCUUGAUAUCUUGUUAAGCUUGUUAGCCCCGUGUGUAUAUAUAGUUCUAGUUUUUCUUUAGUUCCUUGUGAGUUGUUGAAUGUAAUGGUUGUCUGUUUGUCAGUCAGUGGUGAAUCGAGUUCAGAGAAAUCCACGUAUUUAAAAUGUGUUUCAAUCCACGUGUUCAAAGAUCUCAAAAGAGGAAGAGGUCCAAAACUGAGACGCAGGCUAGAUUGUUUUUGAAGAUCAUGAGGGUAUAUAAGCGAGCCUUAUGCACUCUGCAGACAGACCCUUCUGAGACUCUCCUGAAUCUCCUCUAUCUUUCAAGCUUUCACUUCCUCUUUCUUUGGCUUCACUCGAAAACUCAUAGACUCAGACUUGGAACUUUUACAGGUUUUUAUUCAAAUUCAGAUACCUUUUUGAUUCAGACAGAAUAAUUGUUUGUGUUGGUUACAAUUUUUAUCAAUGUUUUAUUAAUACUAGAUGGGUUCAAUCCAUCAUAAAUGGAUGGUUAUUAAAAAUGUACUAACAUUUGAUUUGUAUUUUCUAUAUUUGAAGAUGGUGGUUAUUAUUAUUAUUAUUAUUAUUAUUAUUAAGAGUUUUGUUUCCAAGUUAUGAUUUGUAGUUUCUCUUUAUAUUCUUUUGAAUAAAUUUACAUAUUACUGCACCUUGACCGUCUGGCUUGGAUUCGAUUUUGCAUCAGUCAGUCAUUCUGUUCUUUGCUCCCUUUGGUUUUCAGCUUAUUGUUUGUUCUAGUUUUUUCAUUAAAUACCUGCACAUACAUCCUUGCCUCUGCCUUUUUCCCCAGCUUCUCCAUAACAUUAGUUUUCCACUGGCAUGUCUCUUUGACUAGUGUAUUUUUUUCUUUUUUUUAGCCUAUAUAGUACAAGUAAAAUACUUAAGUACUGUUAAAAUCAGAUAUUCUAUAGGCUGAUUUAUACUUCUGCGUCAAAACUACGCCAUAGGUUGUGCGUAGUAUGUGCAGACUGUGGCAUAGCCUGACGUACACCUUUCCAAAAAUGUCACAAUGCGUCAAAUCUAUGCAGACUGCAAGUGUUUGGAUUGGUCUGCUCCCUCCGUAUGUAUUUAAGUUUUGUGUGUGUUUUGUACUUUAAUAUGUUUUAAUUGUUACAAAAUAAAACAAAACAAAGAACAAGUGUCUUAUCAUUUAUUAUAAAA